rnacentral:rRNA from 1 species
UACGGGGGGGGCAAGCGUUGUUCGGAAUUACUGGGCGUAAAGGGCUCGUAGGCGGCCAACUAAGUCAGACGUGAAAUCCCCCGGCUUAACCGGGGAACUGCGUCUGAUACUGGAUGGCUUGAAUCCGGGAGAGGGAUGCAGAAUUCCAGGUGUAGCGGUGAAAUGCGUAGAUAUCUGGAGGAAUACCGGUGGCGAAGGCGGCAUCCUGGACCGGCAUUGACGCUGAGGAGCGAAAGCCAGGGGAGCAAACGGG